AUUUUAACCGUGCAAAGGUAGCAUAAUCAUUAGGUUUUUAAUUAGAAUCUUGUAUGAAUGGUUCGACAAAAGAAGUACUGUCUUUGUAUUAAAAUUUGAAUUUAACUUUUAAGUGAAAAGGCUUAAAUAUAUUAAAGGGACGAUAAGACCCUAUAAAACUUUACAUUGUAAUUUUAUUUAAUUAAAUUUAUAAAAUAAAAAUUUGAUUUAAUUAUAUGUUAUGUUGGGGAGACAGAAGUAAAAUAAAUUUUAACUGCUUUAUGUUAAAACAUAUAUUUAUGAAAUAUUAAAUGAUCCUUUAUAAAGAUUAAAAGAUUAAGUUACUUUAGGGAUAACAGCGUUAUUUUUUUUGAGAGUUCCUAUCGAAAAGAAAGUUUGCGACCUCCAUGUUGAAUUAAAAAAUCUUUAUGGUGCAGAAGCUAUAAAAGAAGGUCUGUUCGACCUUUAAAUUUUUACAUGAUUUGAGUUCA
rnacentral:rRNA from 1 species